AUUGAACGCUGGCCGCAUGCUUUACACAUGCAAGUCGAACGGUAACAGGCCUUCGGGUGCUGGCGAGUGGCGAACGGGUGAGUAAUGCAUCGGAACGUGCCCAGAGGUGGGGGAUAACGCAGCGAAAGCUGUGCUAAUACCGCAUGUGAUCUGAGGAUGAAAGCGGGGGACCAGGCAGCAAUGUUUGGCCUCGCGCCUUUGGAGCUGCCGAUGUCAGAUUAGGUAGUUGGUGGGGUAAAGGCCCACCAAGCCGACGAUCUGUAGCUGGUCUGAGAGGACGACCAGCCACACUGGGACUGAGACACGGCCCAGACUCCUACGGGAGGCAGCAGUGGGGAAUUUUGGACAAUGGGCGCAAGCCUGAUCCAGCAAUGCCGCGUGCGGGAAGAAGGCCUUCGGGUUGUAAACCGCUUUUGUACGGAACGAAAAGGCUCUGGCUAAUACCUGGGGCUGAUGACGGUACCGGAAGAAUAAGCACCGGCUAACUACGUG
rnacentral:rRNA from 1 species